rnacentral:rRNA from 1 species
UACGGAGGGUGCAAACGUUGCUCGGAAUCAUUGGGCGUAAAGCGCACGUAGGCGGCCCGUUAAGUCGGAUGUGAAAGCCCAGGGCUCAACCCUGGAAGUGCAUUCGAAACUGGCGGGCUUGAAUAUGGAAGAGGGUCGCGGAAUUCCCGGUGUAGAGGUGAAAUUCGUAGAUAUCGGGAGGAACACCAGUGGCGAAGGCGGCGACCUGGGCCAAUAUUGACGCUGAGGUGCGAAAGCGUGGGGAGCAAACAGG